rnacentral:rRNA from 1 species
CAGUCGCCACGGUAAUACGUAGGGCGCAAGCGUUAUCCGGAAUUAUUGGGCGUAAAGAGCUCGUAGGCGGUUUGUCGCGUCUGCCGUGAAAGUCCGGGGCUCAACCCCGGAUCUGCGGUGGGUACGGGCAGACUAGAGUGAUGUAGGGGAGACUGGAAUUCCUGGUGUAGCGGUGAAAUGCGCAGAUAUCAGGAGGAACACCGAUGGCGAAGGCAGGUCUCUGGGCAUUAACUGACGCUGAGGAGCGAAAGCAUGGGGAGCGAACAGGAUUAGAGACCCCUGUAGUCCCUGUCUCUUAUAC